rnacentral:rRNA from 1 species
GAUGAACGCUGGCGGCGUGCUUAACACAUGCAAGUCGAACGAUGAAGCCCAGCUUGCUGGGUGGAUUAGUGGCGAACGGGUGAGUAACACGUGAGUAACCUGCCCUUAACUCUGGGAUAAGCCUGGGAAACUGGGUCUAAUACCGGAUAGGAGCGUCCACCGCAUGGUGGGUGUUGGAAAGAUUUAUCGGUUUUGGAUGGACUCGCGGCCUAUCAGCUUGUUGGUGAGGUAAUGGCUGACCAAGGCGACGACGGGUAGCCGGCCUGAGAGGGUGACCGGCCACACUGGGACUGAGACACGGCCCAGACUCCUACGGGAGGCAGCAGUGGGGAAUAUUGCACAAUGGGCGCAAGCCUGAUGCAGCGACGCCGCGUGAGGGAUGACGGCCUUCGGGUUGUAAACCUCUUUCAGUAGGGAAGAAGCGAAAGUGACGGUACCUGCAGAAGAAGCACCGGCUAACUACGUG